GCCUGUGUUUACAUACAGCUAAUUAGGACUCAAAAUCCCCCGCCGCAAGGCGUGCCGGUUCGAUUCCGGCCUCGGGCACCA
rnacentral:tRNA from 1 species